UUAUAAACUAUUGUCUCAACUACCUAUCCAUUAAUAAAAAAAACUUGCAAAAACUAAACUUAUCAAGAGAUAAAAUGUCUGAUUCGGCAAAGAAAGAAGUUAACAAACCCGAAAUUCCUCAAAGAGAAACGCAAGUCGAUCCGAACAUUAUUUGCGAGAACAUGAUAACCAGCGACAGCCGCAAUGAAACGAAAGUCAACGCAGUUGUAGGUCCGCAAGUACUUAUAAAUGUCCGAGGGCAAGUGUUUGAAAGUAAAUGAUUUUAAAAAAUGUUAAUAAUUUGCGUCUAGUUUCUGUAAUAUCUAUGCGUUAUGAAUGCAAGUAAAGUGUAUUAAUAAGUAA